UUCGUCUCAAAAAAAAAAGAAGCGUCUCCCCCCGUGGGGUCUGCCACAUAUACUCCAUUUAACAGUGCACAAAUGUGACCUAGGCAAGAUUUUGCAGUGUUUGUAGAACAGGGAAGGACUUGAAGGAGGAGAGCGAUGGAGGAAGGUGGCCCUCGGAAGUGACUGGAAAAGGUGUUCUGGUAGCAAAGGUGCCACUCUAUGUUAUGACUCCCCCAGCUACCAAAAACAAAGCAAACAAAAACAACAUCUGAAGCAGCUUCUGCAGGGUUGGCGAGGCUAUAAGACAAAGUACUCCCCAAAGAGGGUGCCUGUGAGAUGGGGAAGUAAAUUUAGCUAGAAGUUCCUCUGUCAGGUUUUUCUAAGAGACCUAGGAUGGAAACUGAAAGAAUCCAGACAUGUCUCUCUCUAGCUUUGGGGUAGCGUGUUUUCUAAGCUAAAGAAGAGUUGAUACCCUCCAGGUAGUCAAGAAAAUUAUUUUUCUUUCCCCUUUUCCCACCGUCCCUCUUCUUUCCCCUUUCCCCACCUUUCCCCACCAUCCCUCUUCUUUCGCCAACUUUCCUCCACCAUCCCUCUUCUGCUUUUUUUUUUUUUUUUUUUUUUUUUUUUUGAGAUGGAGUUUCACUCUUGUCAUCAAGGCUGGAGUGCAAUGUUGCAAUCUCGACUCACUGCAACCUCCACCUCCUGGGUUCAAGUGAUUCUCCUGCCUCAGCCUCCCAAGUAGCUGGGAUUACAGGCACCCGCCACCAUGCCCAGUUAAACUUUGUAUUUUUAGUAGAGAUGGGGUUUCACCAUGUUGGUCAGGCUUGUGUUGAACUCCUGACCUCAGGAGAUCCACCUGCCUCGGCCUUCCAGAGUGCUGGGAUUACAGGCAUGAGCCACCACGCCCGGCCUCCACUUUCUUUUUCCCCACCUAUUAAGAGAAAAAAGAAAAUUACACUUAAAUUUCCUGUUUUCUCUUGAAGUAGUCAAGGGUGUUUUUCAGCCAGCCUAGCCUUUGACUAAAUGUGCCGUACUCCCUGUUCUCUUACUACUUUUUCCACAUCCUGGCUAGGAGCAAGGUAUAAUUCAAAAGGGCCACAAAAGAAAAUGGGCUCAUGGAAAUGAAAAGAAUUAUACUCACUUUGCAUGGAAAGGAAAAUGGAGGAAAACGGAAUUGUAUUUAUUUCAAGUACAUGAAAGCUUUCACUCGAGGAUGAGAACAAUGUUUUAAGCCAGAACAAGAGGGGAGAGAUUUAAAAUGUAGCACUAGGAACUUUCUUUCACUUUAAGUAGGUUGUCUUCAGUGUCCCCAGGUAAACUUAGGAGCAUCUUCUCCACUGCUCCCAUUCCACAUUGAACCCAACUGCUGAAGAACAGUCAUCUUAUUUGAUUGCAUGUGUUUGUCUGCAAAGUCCACUACUACAGGAGACAGUAAGCAACUUGAGGAUGGCAUUUAACAUAAUGCCUACAUCAGAAAAAAACUGAGUAUUUAUAGGCUGAAUCAAUUUAAAGUGAGAUUCUUAAAUACCGAAAUGGGUUAUUUAACAUGUUCAUUUUUUGUAGUGGUGGAGGGAAGGAAACUUUAAAAAUGGGAUAGAUUCAGGACUUGAGUCAUUUCAUAAACACGUAAGAAUAACAAUCCUCAAAUGUAACUGAAGUAGUCAUUAGAGCUAUUGACAAUGUUCUGUACACAUUCUAGGCCAUGAAGCAGGAUCAUAUUGCCCCAUCUACUCCAAAGAGACUGGCUUUAAUCAACGAAAUAUGAUCAGCAUUAACUGGUCACAUCCAAGCAUUCAUGGCUCACCAAUCUCUCUUUUCCUGCCUCUGGCAUUGUUGAUGCCUGCUGUGGUUUGGAUGUGGUUUGUCUCUGCCAAAACUCACGAUGAAACUUAAUUGCCAAUGUAAUGUGGUUGGGAGUGGUGCCUUCCUUAGAUGAUUAGUUCGUUAAGCUAGAUUAAUGUCUCUCUUAGGACACUGGGUUAGUUCUUGAGUGAGUGGAUUUGUUCCCUUGAGAGUGGGUUGUUAUAAAGUGAGGUUGCCUCUCAUCUUCUGCCUCCUUGGCAAGCCUGCCUCCCCUUCUACUUCUCUGCCAUGUUAUAACGUGCAGCAUGAGACCUUCACCAGAAGCUGAGCAGAUGCUGAUGCCAUGGUUCUUGGACUUCCCAGUCUCCAGAAUCAUGAGCCAAAUAAACUUAUUUUCUUUAGAAAUUACCUAGUCUCUGGUAUUCUGCUACAGCAACACACAAUAGAGUAAGACAAAGAUGGAGUCAAGAUGGAGCUUCUGACAAAUCAGGUCUAGGAAUGACAAUGAUGAACCUAAGCCCAGUGCACCAUGUGAUGGGCCAUAUGAAUAAAUUAACAAGUUAGAACUAAACUCAUGUUAAUAUCUUUGGAAUGGUUGUUUGAUCAAACCUCACUUGCCUGAUACAAUAUCCCUGUAAACCCAAAUUUCUAUUUAAUUUCAAAACUAUAUAGUUUCAUCAAAAUGUGAUUACUGCUCUUUGACUAACAGGCUGUGAUCUUCCAUCCCUAAGACCUAUUUAUCUGCUUAGGUAAAACCUUGGAAAUCCUGGAGACAAAAAGUGUUGUGGUAAAGAAACAAACCACUUUAAAUAUGUUAAAGGUGCUUGCCUUUUCAAACCUAUUCAACUUUUCCCAAAGAGCUAUGCAUGCCCAUGCUCCAGAAUCACUAACAGCACAAGAAUUCUUGGAAGCACACACACACUGGCUGAAUUAUAUUUCUAUUUCCACAUUGCUGCUAUUUUCUUUUCUUUUCUUUUCUUUUCUUUUCUUUUUCAGACGGAGUUUCGCUCUUGUUGCCCAGGCUAGAGGGCAAUGGCGCGAUCUCGGCUCACCACAACAUCCUUUCCGCGUUCAAGCGAUUCUCCUGCCUCAGCCUGAUGAGUAGCUGGGAUUACAGGCAUGCGCCACCACGCCCGGCUAAUUUGGUAUUUUUAGUAGAAACGGGGUUUCUCCAUGUUGGUCAGGCCGGUCUUGAACUCCCAACCUCAGGUGAUCCACCCACCUCAGCCUCCCAAAGUGCUAGGAUUACAGGUUUGAGCCACCGCACCCAGCCUCCUGCUAUUUUCAAAGGAAAUCUGUUCCUCUCUUAGCAAUGGUAUAGGGAUAGAAGAUUGUCCAUAAAGCCCCAGUGUCACUGCCACACAUAAUCGGACAUAACAUGGUUGGCUCAUUAGCAUUUACAUGUCUCCAUUUCAACAUGACCACUUGACACUAAGUGUUUGUCCCGUUAGAAAUGUCAGAGAGUUGUCAGGUUUUGACUGAAUUUGGUAAAUGACUACUGUAUCUCUAGUGCCCCAAAUUGGCUCAGAAAGCCUUUCUUCUGUUAGGACUUACAUGUUGCUUUUCCUGUUUUGGGAUGCUGUGGCCAGAGCUGUAGCCAACAUAUACCUUAACUUUGUUUUGGACUUUUGUGCAUUCUAUUGAAACAAAAUGGCAAGUAAAAUAUUUUUAUAUGAGCAUAUUUCUGUCAUGUUUAAUGGAUUCUAAUAAAGUUAGGUACAUGGGUGAAUUGAUGAGAAAAUGGCUCCUCUUGCCAGCUCAAAAAAUGCAUAUUGCCAAUUUAAUUUCUACAUGGUAAAAUCAGCUACAUGAGGUUUGAAUAAGGUCCAGCACUUGGAGAACUUCAAUGAAUACUAAUAUAGCUUCCAGAUAGCCAAAAAACAUAAGUUUGAAAGACCUUUGCAAACAGUAAAGUGUUAUUUGAAAGGUGAGCUUUCCCAUUUGGGAGUCAGGUAUCAACAGGUCUUUUUCAACCCCAUUGAAAAAGAGUUGUUUCUAUACAUCAAGCUGUACAGAAAGGAAGCAGAAGGAUAUGUGAUUUAGUGAGGUUCUGCAAGUCAACUGCUACUGUGUGUGUGUGCGCACAUGCGUGUGUGUGUCUGUGUGUGUGUGUGUGUGUGUGUGUGUGCGUGCGCGCACGCAUGUAUGGUGUGUACCGCUAGGUCAGGAAUGAACUGGAGUUCUCUGAAGCCAGAGGUUCGCCAAGAAGCUUCCUAUGAUGUUUUGUUGGCCUAAAAGGGCAGAUCAGGUAAAAGUCCAUAGGAGGAAUCUAAAGCUCAAAUAUCAAGGCAGGGAGAUCAAGGAAGAACCAGGAUGUCAGAGACAGCUAAGGAGGAAAGCAGAAUGAAAUCCUACCAGGAACAGUCAAAGGGAAGCAUCCCAGGCGGCUGCUACUAAUGUCAGUGGGUACUUGCAGCUCCCCUUACAGAGCUAGCUUAUGUAUGUUAUAUUGGCCUGGUUGUACGAAAGCAGAAAAAAGUUAGGUUGGCUGGGCACACAUCCUGGUGAACAUGGUGAAACCCUGUCUCUACUAAAAAUGCAAAAACAAAAUUAGCCGGGCAUGGUGGCGGGCGCCUGUAUUCCCAGCUACUUGGGAGGCUGAGGCAGGAGAAUGGCAUGAACCCAGGAUGUGGAACUUGCAGCAACAGAGCAAGACUCCAUCUCAAAAAAAAAAAAAAAAAAAAAAAAAAAAAAAAAAAAAAAAGUUAGGUCUGCAUGGGCAAUGAAUUGAGAUUAUGCUUUGGAGUAUUUGGUAUACCUUUUCAGAACUUUUCAAAAGGGAAUAUGAGCAUAUGAAGAGCCAACAGGUUGGAAGAUAAUCCUUGCAUUCCCCUACCUAAGCAAUCACUAUGAUGAAAAAAUCAAAUCAUCUUAGAAAAACAUCAGUUCAAUGGAAUACAUGUGUACAGCGGAACAGAAUAAAAUGUUCAAGGGGAUUUUAAGUGUCCAUCUUUGUGAAGCUAUCUUGAGUCCAUCAUGAUAAAUUUACAGAAUUAAAGUUCUCUUCACUUCCCUAAGUCAAAGAAAGAAGGAGGUACCCAAAGCACUGAAAUGGUUCCUCCGCACCCGUGAAUUUAGCCAAGAUCUCUCAGCGGGCUAGUCCUAAGGGGACGUGCUGCUGCCCUCCGACAUGGGAAACAGGUUCACGACUCCACCCAUCCCCAUCACCCUAACCCUAUCCCUGGGGACUAUGGUCCACACCAACCUCUGAAGGAGAUGCUUGGUGUACACCAGGUUCUUCCUGCUGGUCUUGCUAGUAACAUUUCCCCUGUGUCUUCUCUUCUCCAUUUCCCAUUCCUGGACCCAUCCUCUGUGUCCUCCCAUGUUCAAUAACUCUCUCAAAUCCCAUCUUUCACAGGUCAGUUUCUCUUGUCCAGGCAUCUGGAGUGAACAGGGACCUAAUCUUUGUCUCUGCACACCCAGCUCAGGAUCCAGUACACAGCAGGCAUUCAAUACAUGCCAAACAGAUCAGGAAAUAAGUAAUGUAUGACCCUAAUGCUAAAGUGAGGAUGCUGGGCUCUGAGGGGUGAGGAUGAACGUAGCAGGGAGGUAAGAUGGGGAGAAAGGAAAACAGCCAAGAGGAGGAAAAGAAAGAGGGGGCAGGAAUCCACCCAUGUCCUUUUGCUGCUAAAAGGCCCCCUUUUCUCAGUCCCAAAAGCCCCCACCACCAUCACAGAAAAGGCAGGCAGUGGGACCACCCCUUUAAUGGUUCAUACACAACCCUCAGCUGAAAGUUCCAUGACUACUUUACCUUUAAAGAUGGCCUGGAUGUUCAUUCCAACCUAAUUUCACUCAGGUACACAACGUAAUUUUUCCUGGUCUGAUCCUCAGGAAUUGGCUGGCAUUUUCUCAACAACAAUGUCCUUUGAUAUAGAACCUUCUAGUACCAUGGUCUGAUUAAGAAGGAUUUAAUGUUCCCUGUGUUCCAGAGUGUCGGGCUCUAUUGCACAUUCAAGGACAGAAGCACUUUUUGUCCAUAGCACCUAAAGAGCCUCCAAGGCACUGUACAGUUGUGGUUCUCGAUAAUUCCUUGUCAAUUCCCAUAUACCCUGAGUGGUCCCACAUUAUGCAACAUGCCUAUAAGCUGCCUUGUAUACCACAAAUUGAAGUAAGCCCAUGACAAUAUUUUGAAAAUAGUCGACUGAUGAGAUUUCCAUUCCUCCUCCCGGUAAAACAUGUCCCUUGGCAACCAUUUCACUCUUCCAGUUGGGAGGGGGUUGGGGAAGAGGUGGGUAGGUAAAGGAAACUGCUCCAAACAACAGGAAGAGGAAUGAGAAUGCCUAUCCCCUCCACCCCAAAGGAAUUGGCAGGACACCAGGAAAAGCAAUAGGAAAGCAGGUGGUGAAAAAUGCAUGUGUUGACUACCAUUCUCCAGGCUGGAGUCCUGGAAGUGGAGAGGUAUGUGAAAUCAGUUAAAGGGGAAAAUCCAAGCGGAGAAAAGUCUUCCUUCUCACGAGGCACUCAGAAUCAGCAAAGACUCUAGCAGAGAUUCACUCCCCUCACCCCAUACCAGCCAGGGGUGCCCAUGGCAGAGUCAAAUUGGAGAACAGGCAGAGGUCUUAUGAGCCCAAGUUUAGCUUUCCACAUCUCCUUCAGCUCCUACAUCACAAGGAAAGUAUUUACUGGUUGCUGGGUAUCCUGUGGAAGGACCCAGAAGUACCAGAUGAGCUGGGGGUGGGUGGGAGCUGGGUGCACAGCAGGGGUUCAGUGAACCCAAGAGCCAUAGACUGCAGGGGAGACAUGGCGGACCAGGAAUCAUAACAAUCAGGCUCCAGGAAGACACCUGGGCUUGGAGGGGCUGAGUCGGCUGGGAGAUCGGCAUGACCAAGCUGAAAGAGAAGAGACCAUCAUCUCGGAACUGUCAACUUCAGCACCAGUGACAGCAGGGCACCUAGCAACCAGGCAGAUACAGGAUAAUGCCAUGGCCACAAGAGGGUCCCCAGUGCACGGACCACUAUCUCCUCCCCAAGAGCUGAGAUCCCUCCACCACCCAUCCGGGAGCUCUCUUGGAGAAGAGCAGAGGCACGGGAAGAAAUCUAAAGAAUAAAGUUUCACCCCGAAGAGAACUUUGCAUAAGAAGUGACUUAAAUUAUUGAAUCAGACCAAAUUUCAUUUUUCCAUGAUACUCAGCAGAGUGGAGGCUGCCAGGGAAGAGUAGACUUGACAUAAAAUAUUUAAAAAUACACUUUCUUUGCACAUGAGCGCAUAGUCUGUACAUGUGCAACCCAACUUCAUGACUUUUCAUACUUUAUAUGAAAAACAAUGAUCACAGUCAGGUGCGGUGGCUCACGCUGGUAAUCCCAGCACUUUGGGAGGCUGAGGCAGGUGGAUCACUUGAGGUCAGGAGUUCAAGACCAGCCUGACCAACAUGGUGAAACCCGUCUCUACUUUAAAAAAAAAAAAAUUAGCCAGGCAUGGUGGCGCACGCCUGUAAUCCCAGCUACUUGGGAGGCUGAGGCAGGAGAAUCACUUGAAUCUGGGAGGUGGAGGUUGCAGUGAGCCGAGAUUGCACCACUGCACUCCAGCCUGGGCAACAAGAGCGAAACUCCAUCUCAAAAAAAAAAAGAAAGACAGAAAGAAAAAGAGAAACAAUGAUUGCAAGCCACCUCAUCAUGGUACUGCUUGAUGCUUCCUGCCACCAGGGGAAAUGGUGGCUGAGAAAGGAAUUUUCCAGAAUAGGUGUCAAUUUACUUUGUAAACAUUGUGCUUAAUUGUUUGCAAGACUGCAGAAUAACUGGCACGAAGUGAAGUUAUUUUAGACAAGAACAAACAAUUUGAAUAUGGCAGUUAGUGGGGAACGGAGAACAAAGACUGGAGUUUUAUUUAAAGAACAAGUCAAUCACGCCAAUAGAAAGACAAUGCCUAGGCUCCUUCCGUGUGCACAGCUGAAAAGCCCCAAGUUGCUCUGUUUUAAAACGUGUGAAGAUAUUCAGCACAAAAGGCCCGGUUUUGAACGUCGAUAAAAGAAAUUCAGGAAGAACUACUGUGGUUCACAAAGAAACAAAGCCUUUGCCACUGAGGAAACGGAUUGUGUCCUGUGAAACCCAGUAGUCAAAGAUGACAGGGUCUGGUCUUACAGCGGUGUAGAGAAUCAAGAAAUUGACAUGGAAGUCUUAUGCAAACCAACUUAACACAUAUUCCAUCAAAUAUGUUAAAUGCAUCAGACAAGGAAUAGGAAAUAUUGAAAACCCAAGACAACAGCUCUACAAAGAUUGCUCUCCUCGUAUCAUCUGCCUUCAAUCCCCGCUUCUCACAGCAAGAUACCCUGUAUUUUUUAAUCAGUGGGUUUACUUAGAAUGAGAUUCCAAGUCAGCAGUCAGCAAACAUUUUCUGUAAAGAGCCAGACAGGAAAAAUUUUAGGCUUUCUGGACCACUAGGUCUCCUUCGCAGCUACUCAACUCCACCUCUGUCGUAUGACAACAGCCACAGACAGUUUGUAAACAAAGGGGCGUGGCUGUGUUUCAAUAAAACUUUAUGGACAAUGAAAUCUGGAUUUUGUGUAGUCUUCAUGUGUAACAAAAUAUUCUUUCAAUUCUUUUUUCAACGAUUUAAAAAUGUAG
rnacentral:lncRNA from 10 species